GACGAACGCUGGCGGCGUGCCUAAUACAUGCAAGUCGAGCGAAUCAGCAGGAGCUUGCUCCUGUUGGUUAGCGGCGGACGGGUGAGUAACACGUGGGCAACCUGCCUGUAAGACUGGGAUAACACCGGGAAACCGGUGCUAAUACCGGAUAAUCCUUUUCCUCUCAUGAGGAAAAGCUGAAAGUCGGUUUCGGCUGACACUUACAGAUGGGCCCGCGGCGCAUUAGCUAGUCGGUGAGGUAACGGCUCACCAAUGCGACGAUGCGGAGCCGACCUGAGAGGGUGAUCGGCCACACUGGGACUGAGACACGGCCCAGACUCCUACGGGAGGCAGCAGUAGGGAAUCUUCCACAAUGGACGAAAGUCUGAUGGAGCAACGCCGCGUGAGCGAUGAAGGCCUUCGGGUCGUAAAGCUCUGUUGUUAGGGAAGAACAAGUACCGGAGUAACUGCCGGUACCUUGACGGUACCUAACCAGAAAGCCACGGCUAACUACGUGCCAGCCGCCGCCGUAAGAC
rnacentral:rRNA from 1 species